AUGCAGCUGUGGGAGAGGAACACCUCUGAAGGUGUUGGCAGAUGGGUGCUGCGGAAAACCCUUCAUUUGGGCAAGCUUCUUCCGGAGAAACCGGGGAUGGAGAAAGCGCACAUACAGAUGUUGCGGUAUGCCGAGGAAAGCAAUGUGAUGUUUCUGGUCAUAGGCUUUAGUGUCUUCAUGAUCCAACUUGACUCGCUGCGGUUCAAGCUUAUUUUUGAAAGCAACCUCAGGACCACCUAUCAUCCAUACACAAAUUUCUAUGCUGGAGGAAAGGUAAUUGGUGACAGAGAUGGCGAACCUGAAAUGCUGAACAAUACAUGA
rnacentral:rRNA from 1 species